rnacentral:lncRNA from 1 species
UUUGAAUGAACAGCUGUUUUUUGAGUUGGUGAUUUUUAUCUUUUGAUGAAUACAAAUUAUGGAAAGAAAUUGGGGAUGAAUUGGUUUUACAUUUACACAUAAAACAAAGAAUAUUAAAAAUAAUAAUCUCAUAUAUAUUAAAAACUUUCAUUUCAAAUAAAAAAGGCUUGGCAUGAGUAUAACGGUCUUUAAAAUAUAUAAGACGUGCUACAUGCUUCUGCUGACAAUAAAGAGGUUUAAAAUUUAAACCCGGUUUAUGCUUGGUAGAUCUUUGCUAAACACUUUAAAAUUUUAAUUAUAUUUUUUCAAUAUGGGUUUCAAAUUGCUAUACGAAAUUUUAACUCAGGUCUAACAUAAGUUGUAUAUAGUUUAGUAAACGAGUCAGUUGACCAAAAAGUAUAUGUCUACUUUAGCGUACCUAGUUUUUAGUAAGCUUUUGGUUAAGGUUGUCAUGUAGUCUUUCCAUUUCAGAUUAUUACUUAUGCUAAUACCCAGGUUUCAUUCCUUUGUUUUUUAUUUAAGUUAAUGAUUGUUUCAUCAUAAGUUGUAUAUAUAGUUUUUUAGAUUAUUACUUAUGUUGAUACCUAUAUCUCUUACUAUAUUUACAUGAUAUAUAUAUAUUAUGUUUUAAGGUAUAUCAUGUAUACCUUAAAACAUAAUGUACAUGCAUAAAUAUUUAUCCUCUGUAACGGUAUCACUCGUAUUCUCAUUAGCUUAUUAUUGUGAUUGAUUAACUUUUAAAAUCUAAAAUUAUGUUUUGAUAGAAACAUUUUUUUUUAAAAUUUCUUUGGCAAUGGAACAUGGCAUGUAUUUAAUUAAAUUUUAUUUUAAAAUCUUAUUGAACAUGUGCUGCUGUUGUUUUUAUUAAACGCUGCUUUAAAGUCAAAUAAAAACUUAACCAAAGUAGUUGCCAUGCAACUUAUUAGGAGAGUAAUUUAGAAUUCUUCUGACAAAUUAAAGAGAACAUCCAUUAAUAUCGAUAUUGAUCAACGAUGGCCUAAUUAACUAUAUUCAACUGUUCUAUUUUUUUUUUUUUUUAUAUAUUUUGGUUUUUUUGGUAAUUUUUUUCUACUUAUUAAACAAAAAGAUUAUGGAUGUGGUACCGCAAAUAUAUUUAAUUGAUUAUGCAAGUAAGUUGUCCUACUUUACAUCUGAGAUAUGUUCAUAAUUGUUAUGAACAUAUCUCAGACAAUAUACACUCAGAUUUACAUUUUAGUUAAACCAUCACGACUUCCACAGCCACUUUGUCACAAGCAUUCAAUUGCAUUCUAAGAUAUCUUUAUUUAAAUCAAGUGUGACUACUUUACCAUACGACUCUAGAAUGGACCAUUCAAUACUUCUAAUACAACAUUUACAGAUUGAAUCACGAGGAGAAGCGGUUGUUAUUUAUUCAAAUACAGAUUGUAUCACGAGAAAAAGUGGUAAAAGUGAAGAAAUCUUUUUAAUUGAAUAUUUAGAGAUUGUAUCACGAGAAGAAGUGGUUUUAAUUUAAUUAAAACAGAUUGAAUUACGACAAGAAGUGGUUGUAGUUCAUUUAGAAACAGAUUGUAUUACGAGAAAAAGUGGAAAAAUUUUCUGCACUGUAAGAUAAAGGCUAAAUUAAUUAACUUUCUUGCUUCGGAUGGAGGAGAUGAGAAACAACUUACAGCGUCAAUCUUAUUACUGGUAAUAGCCAAAGAAGUAUGUUUUUCAUACUUAGUGUACGGAAUGAAAAAAAAACCUCUUUCAAGGUCGUUAUAGAGUUGCGUUUAGUCGUUUAUCGUUGUAUUCGUUUAUUUUAAAAUCGCUACUGACAAAAGUAUAAAAGAAAAAACUGGCAGCUUUCUGGCCACGGUCAUUAAUAGAUAUUAUGAAAGAAAAAUAGAACCGUAACUGCAACUUACGUUACUAGCAACUUACCACGGCUAUCUUAAAACAACUAAUGGCUAAAAAAGUAUGCUUGAUAUACUCUAUGUAUGGCAGAAAACAAAAGAAAUCAUUUUCGCCUCUUACAAGAAAAGAGAUUGUAUGACUUCGGUGUCCGCAAUACGAUAUCGUGCAUUGAUUUCCAUCUUAAAAUGGCUCCCUUCUGUAUAGGUGGAAAUAGGUUAUGUCUUUUUUUAAAAUUCUUAAAACGAAGAAGUUUAAUCGGUUUAAACAAAGAUGACGAUGAUCAUUAUCGAGCCGAUCAUGAUGACUAAUACGAUAAUGCAUUUAAUAAUAAAUAUCAUGAUUUUAAUUGUAUCUUAG